UACGGAGGGUGCGAGCGUUGUCCGGAAUCACUGGGCGUAAAGGGCGCGUAGGCGGCUUCUUAAGCGUGCGGUGAAAGCUCGGGGCUCAACUCCGAGUCGGCCGUGCGAACUGGGAAGCUGGAGCACAGUAGAGGCGGGUGGAAUUCCGGGUGUAGCGGUGGAAUGCGUAGAGAUCCGGAAGAACACCGGUGGCGAAGGCGGGACUCUGGGCCGAUACUGACGCUGAGGAGCGAAAGCGUGGGGAGCAAACAGG
rnacentral:rRNA from 1 species